CUUUCUUCCAGUCCAGGAAAGACCGCAAGUGAAGCAAUCGAAAACCCUUUCGCCCUUACCGGUGAGAAAUUCUCCCCAAAGCUAAUCUGAUCAACCAAAGAAAAACUAUCCUUUAUACUCCCAAUAAAUCCCAAGACCAUCCCUUCUCUGCAUCCCCCAAACCCUCCUUCAACUUCAAGAUCGUCACCCGCAUUACAGCGUUGAACCGGGG